ensembl:lncRNA
CCAAGUGUUAUAAAUACAUGCAUUAUAAAUAUAAUUGUCAUAUUAUAAAUACAAGUUCAAUCUGUACUUCAAUGCACAUCUGUUGUGCAUUAUAAAAACAGGAAGAGAGGUGUAAAAGACAAAGGGAAAGAGGUAAGACAUAGGGGCAGGGAAGGCAGCAUAUGAGUAAUGAAUCACAGUGCAACCCAAAUAUUCUCUCAGUUCAUCACAAUUACAUAGUAGUGAAACUAGACAGUCCGAAGGUUAUCUUAAAAGCGGGUGAGGUGGCAAUGAUGGGACUGGGGGUUGGCAUCCUCUCCCACGUCAAAACAUAUCUGCAGACUAGAGACAGAUAGCAUGUUUAAGUCUUGUGUUUUAAUUUUUUAUUCUAACCUUGUUAGUCAUAAUAAUCAGGAGGUGAAAUGCAAAACUGACCUUGGAUCAUUAACUCUGGGACUACUGCAUCUAUAUCUGUAUUUCAAUGUAAAGCAUCUCUUUAAUAAUACUUCCUGUUGACCUGACUAAGUGACCUCAUCUCUGAUCAUGCUGUGCCCUCCAUGUAGCCAGUUCAGAUGAGGGAGGGGUUCACCGACACGGCUGAUAUAACCUAGAGGAUUUAGGGAGAAGAUGAGGGGUGAAGUGAAGGAGAGAGACUUAUUGAGAAAUUAAGGUAGCUAAAGACAUUGUUCAACAGGAAUCUGUGUGUGGCCUCACCCGGUGUCCACACCACACUAAGUGGCUGCAGAGUACUUUUGCUGAAAAACAUGAACAAACAAUAUAGCGUAGUUAUAGAAAUAAUGAAGUGUCUACUAUUCUCCAUGGUUGGCCUUCUUGUCUAUUUUUUUGAAGGUGCAAGGAGCCACAGUUAUACACCUGAGCCUGCUUACUGCACAACACAAUCCAUUCAUCAGAUUGAUACAAGUGUGUGGGUUAUAGGGUGUCUAAUUGUUCUACAUUCUUUCAAUAUGGGUGAUUUAAAAUAGUCUGUUUUUGUACAGACAUCACACCCUUACCUUAACAGCACCCUCAUCUGAGAAGUAGAAAUCAUAGGGAGAGAAACUGGGAAUUGAAUAACUGCAGUUGACAUGGAAGAAUAGUAAAUGGAAGAAUAUUCUUAUUGCAAUGUGAAUGACUCUUAAAAGAGCCUUUGUGCAUCGUGUAGUCUAUGGUAUUGCCAGGGAACAGCACCCUCUUCGAAGAAGUAGGAGGUGAAGAUCUCCCGCACAAGGAUUGCCUCUUGCUGCAUUGUUGGACCCCAUCCUUGAAACAUCCUGCAGAGCAGCAGACUUCUCCUCUGGCAGACGGCAGCGAGCUGCAGAUCCCCUCCUGGUCCUCGUGUCCAUCCUCGUGAAGUUAUGCAGGACACAGGUAGCCUUCACACACCUGAAUUCCUCCAGGAGGCAGUACCAGAUGGCCCUCCUGGUCACCCAACCUUGCAGUGCCCUACACCUUAACUGUAGGCACUCAUUUUGAAAGAAACUCCAGUUACAAGGUAUCUGUAGGAAUAUGGAAGACAAUGUAAUUAUUAGACUUUUACAUCACCAGGUCAUUGUGGAUUACAAAAGUAUAAUAUCCCUAAUAAAUUAUGAUAAGAUUGGAUUGAUAGAUGCAUGGGCACACAUGUGCAUGUGACAAUAACAGGAUCAUAUCAAGGAUAGCAUCACAAAUGAAUACAGAAGUACCACUUGAAGCUUGACGAUAAGUUGAUCGUUUGAAUCAGCUGCGCAGUGUUAAGGCAAAAACAACAAUGUGCACCCCUUUGAGUCCUCAGGACCAGGACUGAGAACCACUGCACUUCAUAUGUAGACAUGCUUUCAUAGCCCUCUUUAUCUGAGGACAGAAAACCUCACAAGAAACAGACUUCAUUAUAGUCCAAUUACACCGCACUGAAUACUAUGUUACUAUUAUCUCCAACCUCACUUCUAGAGACAGGAACUACACAAAAGUACCUGCCCUAACCAGAAUAGCCUACUCGCAGUUGGGGCUGCUAUCCUAUCACCCUCCUCCAUGGCUAUUAGCUAGCUACCUACAAAUUAAUUUUGAGUUUUUUUUUUUACAGUGAUAAAUGCAUCAAGAUAGCUAGCUAAUAUGAAGUUAGGUAGAUAUCUAUACAGUAUGUGAAGUUAGCUCAUUUAGCAGCUCAUUUGAGUUAGCCUGUAGUUAGUUAGCGAAUAAUAUAUCGUUGUUUUUUUACAUUUUCGAAGAGUAUUUACUUACUUGAAUAGGUUCUCCCAGCCAUGUGGACAAUUGGAAACAGGGCAGCAAAGUUUGUUUGUCACCAGAGCGUUUUCGAGGAUAUUACUAUUGAACUAUGUACUAAUUAAUAACUAGACCUUCAUACAAACUUGCUAUGCUGAAUUCUUGACGCACAAUCGAAAAUGCUGCCAGCACGCCCACAAGCG